CCUACGGGUGGCAGCAGUGAGGAAUAUUGGUCAAUGGGCGCGAGCCUGAACCAGCCAAGUAGCGUGAAUGAUGACUGCCCUACGGGUUGUAAACUUCUUUUAUAAAGGAAUAAGGUGAGGCGCUUGUUCCUUUUUGUAUGUACUUUAUCAAUAAGGAUCGGCUAACUCCGUUCCAGCAGCCGCGGUAAUACGGAGGAUCCGAUCGUUAUCCGGAUUUAUUGGGUGUAAAGGGAGCGUAGAUGGGUUGUUAAGUCAGUUGUGAAAGUUUGCGGCUCAACCGUAAAAUUGCAAUUGAUACUGGCAGGCUUGAGUACAGGUGAGGUAGGCGGAAUUCGUGGUGUAGCGGUGAAAUGCUUAGAUAUUACGAAGAACUCCGAUUGCGAAGGCAGCUUACUAAACUGCCACUGACAUUGAUGCUCGAAAGUGUGGGUAUCAAACAGGAUUAGAUACCCGGGUAGUC
rnacentral:rRNA from 1 species